rnacentral:misc_RNA from 1 species
AAGAGUCUAAUGAGGUGCAG